CGCGUCGCCGGAGUCCACCGCCGCUGGCAGCCAGAGUGCUCCAUCGCGGGUCGUCGGAAUCCGUCGUUGCCCAAGAACUAUCGGUGCACUGCCCAAUUCCUCCAGGUCGACUACCCAAAUUUCUGCAGGUGGCUUCCCUGCCACAGUGGUUGCCCUGCUGCAGCCUGACGAUGAAAUUAUUCUAAACUGGGUGCGUACCUUUUCUGAACUGAAGCUGGUGCGCAUCUCUGUCGUCUGGCACAUACCCUGCUCUGUUGGUGUGCCUCGUGCUCUUGUGCAGGUUCUACUGCUUGCUGCCACCACCCAUGGUUUGCAGUUGGCCUCCAUUGACUCAUUAGCUGCUGGAACCUCUCUCUUUUCUGGAGGACUUGAGCCUAGCACCUGUUGCUGUGUGGUUUUUCCCCCGGUUAGCUGCGUG